GACUGGAGAGGCACAAAGAGCUGGGAGGGGACACAGACAGGACAGCUGACCCCAGCUGGCUAGAAGGAUAGUCCAGACAAUAUGGCAUCAAAUCAGGCAGAAAACAAGCAGGAGUUUCUGCUCACAUAACUGACUGGGCAUAAGCUGAAAAGCCAAGGAAAGGCUGACAGAGAGUGAAACCUUGAUGAGACUGCAGCUGUUCCCCCAGUAUCCUUGCAGAGAGAGGAGGAAAUGUGGAUGGGAUGGAUGGAUGGAUUACAGGUCCCCAGAUGACACAGGCAGAGCUACAUCAGACCUGAUGGAUGAAAACUUGUACGUAUGAAGGCUUGAUCUGAACACACUUGGUUCUCAUAGAACGAUGAAACCCAAACCUCAGAGUUUUACAGCAGUGCUUCAAAAAGGAAAGGAAGCAAAAAUAAAACAAACUGCCAAGUCAGAAAGUUUCAAGAAGAGGUGAAGAGGAUCACAGCAAACACAGCAAUUGAGGAGGGAACAGAUGGACACAGGAAGAAGAGGGAGGCGAGUGCGGAACGAAGGAGAUGGGUGAGGAACAGAUGGAGUCAGGAGAAAGUGAAGAGGAGAGUCAGCAAGGAUGGUAGAAAAGUUUUCCACUUGACCUUGAGUUGAAAUGAAGAUCUGCAUGCAGCAUGGGGCAGCUAGCUUUUUGGGUUGCAUCCUUGUUUCUCUCCAUGGCACUUAGCUAUAAGUCCAUCCCAGCAGCCCAGUGCAUCCCAGGAGACCUGCAGAGCCAGGAGCUGGAUUUUCCCUUGGGGUCACCUGCUGCAGAAGGGCACCUGCACUGUGCUCAAGUCCUGUAAUGGUAAUGGCAGGGGAGAGCUCUGUGCCAACAAAGG